AUUGAACGCUGGCGGCAGGCCUAACACAUGCAAGUCGAGCGGAUGAAGGGAGCUUGCUCCUGGAUUCAGCGGCGGACGGGUGAGUAAUGCCUAGGAAUCUGCCUGGUAGUGGGGGAUAACGUCCGGAAACGGGCGCUAAUACCGCAUACGUCCUGAGGGAGAAAGUGGGGGAUCUUCGGACCUCACGCUAUCAGAUGAGCCUAGGUCGGAUUAGCUAGUUGGUGGGGUAAAGGCCUACCAAGGCGACGAUCCGUAACUGGUCUGAGAGGAUGAUCAGACACACUGGAACUGAGACACGGUCCAGACUCUGACGGGAGGCAGCAGUGCGGAAUAUUAGACAAUGGGCGAGAGCCUGAUCCAGCCAUGCCGCGUGUGUGAAGAAGGUCUUCGGAUUGUAAAGCACUUUAAGUUGGGAGGAAGGACAGUAAGUUAAUACCUUGCUGUUUUGACGGUACCAACAGAAUAAGCACCGGCUAACUUCGUG
rnacentral:rRNA from 1 species